rnacentral:rRNA from 1 species
UACGAGGGGGGCGAGCGUUGUUCGGAAUUAUUGGGCGUAAAGGGUGCGUAGGCGGUUUGGUAAGUCUCUUGUGAAAUCUCUGGGCUCAACUCAGAGUCUGCAAGGGAAACUGCCGGGCUUGAGUAUGGGAGAGGUGAGUGGAAUUCCUGGUGUAGCGGUGAAAUGCGUAGAUAUCUGGAGGAAUACCGGUGGCGAAGGCGGCAUCAUGGACCAUUACUGACGCUGAGGCGCGAAAGCUAGGGGAGCAAACGGG